GGUAACAGAAAGUAGCUUGCUACUUUGCUGACGAGCGGCGGACGGGUGAGUAAUGCUUGGGAACAUGCCUUGAGGUGGGGGACAACAGUUGGAAACGACUGCUAAUACCGCAUAAUGUCUACGGACCAAAGGGGGCUUCGGCUCUCGCCUUUAGAUUGGCCCAAGUGGGAUUAGCUAGUUGGUGAGGUAAUGGCUCACCAAGGCGACGAUCCCUAGCUGGUUUGAGAGGAUGAUCAGCCACACUGGGACUGAGACACGGCCCAGACUCCUACGGGAGGCAGCAGUGGGGAAUAUUGCACAAUGGGCGCAAGCCUGAUGCAGCCAUGCCGCGUGUGUGAAGAAGGCCUUCGGGUUGUAAAGCACUUUCAGUCAGGAGGAAAGGUUGGUGGUUAAUACCCGUUAGCUGUGACGUUACUGACAGAAGAAGCACCGGCUAACUCCGUGCCAGCAGCCGCGGUAAUACGGAGGGUGCGAGCGUUAAUCGGAAUUACUGGGCGUAAAGCGUACGCAGGCGGUUUGUUAAGCGAGAUGUGAAAGCCCCGGGCUCAACCUGGGAACUGCAUUUCGAACUGGCAAACUAGAGUGUGAUAGAGGGUGGUAGAAUUUCAGGUGUAGCGGUGAAAUGCGUAGAGAUCUGAAGGAAUACCGAUGGCGAAGGCAGCCACCUGGGUCAACACU
rnacentral:rRNA from 1 species